rnacentral:lncRNA from 13 species
UGUGUGUGUGUGUGUGUGUGUGUGUGUGUCUAUACGUGUAACAAAUGGAGGUGGUGUUUGCAGUUGAUAUGAUAUAAGGGAUUGCAGCAGGGUAACGUCACUAUCGGCCUGUUCCUAAUCACUGUGUUGAUUUAAGCACACAGACAGAUAGAGCCCCUGUGUUCUCUCUGAUAUUAAGGCAGGCACUCUCUGUGACUGCCCUUUUACAGGUCCUGAUAAGAGAGCCACGCUGGAGUCAGGUGUCUGGGCCUAAUCAUUUCCGCAGAGAUCACACACACUGAUUACGCAAACACGAGCAGGCAGUCACACACACACAUGCACACACAGAUACAGGCGUGUAUACGAGUGGCUUUGAGUGCACCUCAUACUGCACUGCUCUGGAGUUGUGGUCUUUUAGCCGAUCUGGCCCUUAUAUACCAACAUACAGUACAUUUACCACAGAGAAACAGCAAUAAUAACAUAGAUCCCAUACUUGCCUUUAGACCAGGUAUGUCCCCAAAAUAUUGACAUUGCACUUUCUCUCUCCGUCACUCCCACUCUCUCCCCCUCUCUCCACCUCUCUUGCUCCUCUUCCAAUGUCAGAAUAUACCAACAACCACCUAGCUGUCUCUACCUCUCCAUCCAUCCUCUCUUCUGUCCCUUCCUCCCUUCCUCUAUCUCUCUGACACCUCUGAGUGUGACACUCAUUCUACAGGAGGGGAUAUGAGGGGAUGCAGGAGGAGGGGAUGCAGGAGGAGGAGAUGGGGGCAAGAGAGGAGAGGAGAGGAGGCGGCGGCGAGGUGUUCCCUUCCCCAUCACAUCUGUAAUCCUUUAAAAGCACUUAAGAGAUUGCAGCUGCCGCCUGUUGUCUGCGUGUCACUGUGGUAACGGCUGAUUUGGGAGGAUCUGCACUGUAAUUGGAUGAUCAGUGUGUGAUGGAGGUGCCGGACGCUACAUUAUGUAAGGCUGACUUUGUGCGCCAUAACCCCUCCGGGCUGCCCCGUAGUGUGUAUGUGUGUGUCUCUCUCUACGUAUCAUAUUCGUUUUCUAUCUUGUUUUCUGCCCUUUACCCACAUCUCUAUCCCACUUUUUCCUUUCUCUAUCUUUCUCUUUCUCUUUUCCUCCUUCCUGUCUUAUAUCUUGUUGUUCCUCUCUCCCUCUCCUCCCCUCCCCUCGCCUCUCUCCCUCUCUCCGGUUGAAUGGGGACAGACAGGCUGAGAGAGAUGUGAGACUAGGCCAAUUUGUUCUGACAUGAAGAGAUGUUUAGGUGGGAGGAAGGCCUUAGACAGAUGGAGAGAGAGGAUUCAACGAUUGGAAGAAAGAGGGGGCCAGACAUGAGUUACAGACGGAGAAACAGAGAGAGAGCGCGAGAGAGAGAGCGACAGGGACAGACAUGAGUUACAGACAGAGAAACAGAGAAAGAGCGAGAACAAGAGAGAGACAGUGACAGACAUGAGUUACAGACGGAGAAACAGAGAGAGAGCGAGAACGAGAGAGAGACAGUGACAGACAUGAGUUACAGACGGAGAAACAGAGAGAGAGCGAGAGAGAACGAGAGAGAGACAGUGACAGACAUGAGGGUUGACAUGCAGACGGACAUGUUUUGGUAGCUUUGCCUGUCCCCCGUGCCAUUCCAGUGUAGCCCCCGUGUCCUAGGCAUGUGGCUAGCAUGUUGUGGGCGUGUAGCCGGCAUGCUGUGGCUGAGGGAUGCUGUCUAAUCUUGGGGGGUAAGAGAGCGUCGACUUCCCAGGGCUCUCUCUGCUCAGCACCUUGUUAGACAGCCACUCCAAGAGCACCACACCCCAACACCCCUGUCACAACCACUUUUCUUCCUCCUCCAUCUCCCUCUCUCCUUCCCCCUCUCUCUACACUUUUCUCUCUCCCAUCUCUCACUCCUUCUCUUCCUCCCCCUCUAACUCUCUCUCCCAUCCUUUCCCCUAUAUUUAUCUCCUCCAUCUACCUCCCUCACUCCCUCACUCCCUCACUCCAAUCCCCCUCUCUCUACAUCUCUCUCUCUCCCUACUCCCUCACUCCCUCUCUCCAUCCCCCUCUCUCUACAUCUCUCUCUUUCUCUCCCUACUCCCUCACUCCCUCUCUCCAUCC